rnacentral:tRNA from 1 species
ACCUAGCUGGCUUAGUCAGUAGAGCAUGUGGCUCUUGAUCACAGGGUCAUGAGAUCAAGCCCCAUGUUGGGCA